CUUCCUGUUCACAUGUGGUCAAGGUCACUCCAAUCUGAGAGGACCCUUGACCUAGGACCAUGCCUUAGGACUACCUGGCAUGAUGACUCCUUGCUGUCCCCAGUCCACCUGGCUGUGCUGCUGCUCCAGUUUCAACUGUUCUGCCCGAGGCUACGGAACCCGGACCUGUUCCCCUACCUGUCCCAGACCUGCUGUUUUCAACUCUCUAGAGACAGCAGGAGCGGUAGAGAUACUCUGAAUGAUCGGCUAUGAGAAUCCAACUGACAUUUACUCCUGAGGUGCUGACUUGUUGCACCCUCGACAACUACUGUGAUUAUUAUUAUUUGACCAUGCUGGUCAUUUAUGAACAUUUGAACAUCUUGGCCAUGUUCUGUUAUUAUCCCCGCCCGUCAUAGCCAGAAGAGGACUGUCCACCCCCCAUAGCCUGGUUCCUCUCUCGGUUUCUUCCUAGGUUUUGGCCUUUCUAGGGAAUUUUUCCUAGCCACCAUGCUUCUACACCUGCAUUGCUUGCUGUUUGGGGUGUUGGGCUGGGUUUUUGUACAGCACUUUGAUAUAUCAGCUGAUGUAAGAAGGGCUAUAUAAAUCAAUUUGAUUUGAUUUGGAUUUGUAGUAGCUUACGUGUGUAGUGUUGAGUCAUGCGCAUACACAGACACACUGGCUUUACUCAAAGCCAUGAAAUGUCAUUAGUAAAGAUUGAAAAAUGUAAGGGGCCUAGAUAGCUGCCCUGGGGAAUUCCUGAGCCUACCUCGAUUAUGUUGGAGAGGCUUCCAUUAAAGAACACCCUCUGUGUUCUGUUAGACAGGUAAGUCUUAUCCAAAAUAUAGCAGGGGUGUAAAGCCAAAACACAAAGUUUUACAGCAGCAGAAUAUGAUCGAUAAUGUCAAAAGCCGCAAUAAAUUUGAACAAAAUAGCCCCACAAUCUUUUAAUCAUCAAUUUGUUUGUCAAUCAUCAGUCAUUUGAGUAAGUGCUGUGCAUGUUGAAUGUCCUUCCCUAUAAGCGUGCUGAAAGUCUGUUGUCAAUUUGUUUACUGUAAAAUAUAAUUGUAUCUGGUCAAACACUGCUUUUUCCAAAAGUUUACCAAAGGUUUGUAACAGGCUGAUUGGUCGGCUACUUGAGCCAGUAAAGGGGGCUUUACUAUUCUUGGGUAGAGGAAUUACUUUUGCUUCCCUCCAUGCAGGCCUGAGAGCACACACUUUCUGGUAGGCCUAGAUUGAAGAUAUGGUAAAUAGGAGUGGCAAUAUCGUCUGGUAUUAUCCUCAUCCAAGUUGGCAGAUUCCAGUGACUUGUCAUUGUUGAUAGACAAUUUUUUCACCUCUUCCACACUCCCUUUAGGGAGUGAAAAAAAUCACAAUGCUUGUCUUUCAUAAUUUGGUCAGUUAUACUGUGUAGGCCAUCAUCGUAAAUAAGAAUUUGUACCUAACUGACUUUCCUAGUUAAAUUAAAAGGUACAUUUUUUUAUUUUUUAUUACUUGGACGUGUAGUGUCGGCAUAUGUUGCUGGUAUGUCAUGCCUAAGUUUGCUAAUCCUGCCAAUUAAAAAUUGAUUCAAGUAGUUGGCAAUAUCAGUGGGUUUUGUGAGGAACGAGCUAUCUGAUUCAAUGAAUGAUGGAGCGGAGUUUGACUUUUUGCCCAAAUUUCACAAGCUUCUUCAAAGCUUUUUACUAUCAUUGUUUAUAGAAUUAAUCUUUGUUUUAUAGUAUAGUUUCUUUUUCUUUUUAUUUAGUUUAGUCACAUGAUUUCUCAAUUUGCUCAAGACUUAAUUGCCACACCUUUUGCCUCAUCCUUUUCAACUAUACAAUUUUUUAAAUUCCUCAUCAAUCAAGGGGAUUUAACAGUUUUUACAGUAAUUAUCUUAGUGGGUGCAUGCAAUUUCAUAAAUAUGUCAAGUGCAGCGUCUAGUUGCUCCUCAUUACACACCACCGACUAUCAAAUAUUCAUUACAUAAUCAACAAAAUAAUCCCUACAAAACAUUUUGUCUGACCUUAUACAUAUUAGGCCCUGCCUUUGGACUUUGGUUUUCGUUGAUAUGGCUAGUAUAUUGUGAUCACUACAUCAGAUGGAUAUGGAUACUGCUUUAAAGCUAAUUUCUUCAGCAUUCAUAAAGAUGUGAUUGAUACAUGUUGAUGAUUUCAUUCCUGUGCUUUUUGUAAAUACCCUGGUGGAUUGUCUGCUAUCCUGAACCAGGUUGCAGGCACUGGUUACAGUUUGAAGCUUUGUCUUGAGUGGGCAGCUAAAUAAAAGCCAGUCAAUUUUGAAAUCACAGAGGAAAUA